AUGCUCGUUUUGGCAGCACAUAUACUAAAAUUGGAAUGAUACAGAGAUUAGCAUGGCCCCUGUUCUAGGAUGACACACAAAUUCAUGAAGCAUUCCAUAUUUUU
rnacentral:snRNA from 1 species